AAGAGCUGACGUGUGCAGAAGUCCUUCUUGUUCUGGUCCUUGUUCCCGUCUGAGUACCAGCUCCCCAUUGCCCUGAGGGCCAGCGGGCCUGCGGCAGAGGGAAGGAGGAGAAGAAGGAAAUUGUCCCGGAUUCUUGCAGUCUUUCCGUAGGUUGUGGCACUACGCCAGGCAAGAGAAGAGGAAGGAAAUUAACCCCAAUCGGUGAAGGUCGAUUUGAGGGUCUGCUGUAGCAGGUGGCACCACUUGAAGAGAGGGAGGAAGUUUCCUCGGAUCAGUAGAGGUACACCUCCAGUAUCAGCUACUGUGGCCUUGACGUGGCUGAAGACGAUCACCUUCCACAGGCCUGCACGCAGGCCCAUAGCCCUCCUCUCCCAGCCUGACUGAAUACUCUCUUCCUUGGUCCCUG
rnacentral:lncRNA from 1 species